rnacentral:rRNA from 1 species
UACAGAGGGUGCGAGCGUUAAUCGGAAUUACUGGGCGUAAAGCGUGCGUAGACGGCUAUCUAAGUCGGGUGUGAAAGCCCCGGGCUCAACCUGGGAAUUGCAUUCGAGACUGAAUAGCUAGGGUACGGUAGAGGGAAGUGGAAUUUCCGGUGUAGCGGUGAAAUGCUUAGAUAUGACAUAGAACACCUAUUGCGAAGGCAGCUUACUACGCAGAUAUUGACGCUCAUGCACGAAAGCGUGGGGAUCAAACAGG